UCCGGUUUGGCACCGGCAGUCCCUCUAGAGUCCCCGGCUCGGGUUUUCAGGCCCUCUCCGCUGGUAACUAGAGGCGGGGGUUGCGCUCGUUGCGGGACUUAACCCAACAUCUCACGACACGAGCUGACGACAGCCAUGCAGCACCUGUGCUGGAGUCCCGAAGGAGGGCCGCCCUCUCUGGCGGCUUUCCCCAGCAUGUCAAGCCUAGGUAAGGUUCUUCGCGUUGCGUCGAAUUAAACCACAUGCUCCACCGCUUGUGCGGGCCCCCGUCAAUUCCUUUGAGUUUCAGCCUUGCGGCCGUACUCCCCAGGCGGGGCACUUAAUGCGUUAGCGCCGGCACCCAGGGGGUCGCUCCCCCAGGCACCUAGUGCCCAUCGUUUACGGCGUGGACUAC
rnacentral:misc_RNA from 1 species